CUGUAACACACUGUAUUUGAUUGCUUCUUCUAUUUUGACCCUAUUAUCUUGCAACCACACCAAUUUUCAUAUCAUUAAUAUGUUGUUGGAAGGAGUCUACCCUUUCUACCAUAUAACGCUGCAGCCAAGAGAGCCAAAUAAGUGCAAGACAGGUAUGACGGCAUAAUGAAUGUAUGAUGGAAAUAGCAAGGAAUGAAUGAGCAUGCUCUAUGUCAAAGGCAGCCUGCUCCGACUCAAAAACACCCAUUAUCCCCAACAUCCUACUCAUUCUGAAGACCAUCAAUCUUACAGCAGCUCAUGUUAGACAUCUACAGGUAUGGAAUAUGUUUGGCGAAUCCCGUUCUUUGAAGUCAGGCACAAGCCUUCGUCUUUCUUUUGCCAACUGAAUCUGAAAGAAAGCUUUGUGUUACACUUUGGAGAGCCAAACCAGUUAAGAGUUAGUGUGCAGUUUGGCUUAUUGCCACAAUGACUGGUAAGGUUCUUGAUGUUAGAGGCUUUCAUCAGCCUGGGUCCACGUGGUACAAAUGAGAAAUAAACCCGUGUUGUUUUAACUACUGAGAUUUGGACAUGGCUUGAACUUUAUCAUAAAGAGCUUAUCCUGAAAAAAAGCAAACCAAUCUGAUGCUAUUUACGGCGGAGGAUUCUGAGUCAACCUGAGGAAUGGAAAUGAUUUCAUCUGUAAUCUUCUGGUGCCAUGAGCCUCAUAUGUUGCCUAAUUAACUCAUCUUUAUCUGAUUAUGCCUUACCAAAAUACCUUCCACGAGAACUUUUCUUACCAGAUUAUCAUCCCAAGGAAGGAACAGCAAGAAUCAUAAGUUUAAGCCUGAUAGCUGGGGCAUCAAGCCCUAUAUACCAUGACCACCCAUUCUGAACUAAGUUUGCUAGAAAGAAGCCAGCAUAAAAUCUUGAAAAGGAAAAAGCAUUAAUUAAAUCCAUCUGUCUGGUGAAUUAAUGUUAAACCUUCAGCCUCGUAUUUAAGACCUUCAUUUGUUUAUGGUUUCCCU
rnacentral:lncRNA from 1 species